rnacentral:rRNA from 1 species
ACAGUCACUGACAUUAGAUACCCCCGUAGUCCAGGGUGUAAACGCUGCAGACUUGGUGUUGGGAACCCUUCGGGGGUGCUCAGUGCCGGAGAGAAGUUGUUAAGUCUGCUACUUGGGGAGUACGUCCGCAAGGAUGAAACUUAAAGGAAUUGGCGGGGGAGCACCGCAACGGGAGGAGCGUGCGGUUUAAUUGGAUUCAACGCCGAAAAACUCACCAGCAGCGACUGUUACAUGAAAGUCAGGUUGAUGACCUUACUAGAUUUUCAG